rnacentral:rRNA from 1 species
UACGGAGGGUGCAAGCGUUAUCCGGAUUCACUGGGUUUAAAGGGUGCGUAGGCGGGUAGGUAAGUCAGUGGUGAAAUCUUCGAGCUUAACUCGGAAACUGCCUUUGAUACUAUCUAUCUUGAAUAUUGUGGAGGUAAGCGGAAUAUGUCAUGUAGCGGUGGAAUGCUUAGAUAUGACAUAGAACACCUAUUGCGAAGGCAGCUUACUACGCAUAUAUUGACGCUGAGGCACGAAAGCGUGGGGAUCAAACAGG